GACCUAAUGGCGAAACGGUAUCGCGUCCGCGCUUCAUAGAGGUUGGUAGACCAGGUUUAGUGUCCCUGGUUCGACUCCAGGUUAGGUCA